rnacentral:rRNA from 1 species
AACGAACGCUGGCGGCAUGCCUAACACAUGCAAGUCGAACGAGACCUUCGGGUCUAGUGGCGCACGGGUGCGUAACGCGUGGGAACCUGCCCUUAGGUUCGGCAUAACUCCCCGAAAGGGGUGCUAAUACCGGAUAAUGUCUUCGGACCAAAGAUUUAUCGCCUUUGGUUGGGCCCGCGUUGGAUUAGCUAGUUGGUAGGGUAAAAGCCUACCAAGGCGACGAUCCAUAGCUGGUCUGAGAGGAUGAUCAGCCACACUGGGACUGAGACGCGGCCCAGACUCCUACGGGAGGCAGCAGUGGGGGAUAUUGGACAAUGGGCGAAAGCCUGAUCCAGCAAUGCCGCGUGAGUGAUGAAGGCCUUAGGGUUGUAAAGCUCUUUUACCCGGGAUGAUAAUGACAGUACCGGGAGAAUAAGCUCCGGCUAACUCCGUG